rnacentral:rRNA from 1 species
UACGGAGGGUGCAAGCGUUAUCCGGAUUUACUGGGUUUAAAGGGUGCGUAGGUGGGCUAGUAAGUCAGUGUUGAAAUCUCCGGGCUUAACCCGGAAACUGCCAUUGAUACUAUUAGUCUUGAAUACCAUGGAGGUGAGCGGAAUAUGUCAUGUAGCGGUGAAAUGCUUAGAUAUGACAUAGAACACCAAUUGCGAAGGCAGCUCGCUACGCGGUUAUUGACACUGAGGCACGAAAGCGUGGGGAUCAAACAGG